rnacentral:rRNA from 1 species
GGGUUGUGAGGUUAAGCGACUAAGCGUACACGGUGGAUGCCCUGGCAGUCAGAGGCGAUGAAGGACGUGCUAAUCUGCGAAAAGCGCCGGCGAGGUGAUAUGAACCUUUGACCCGGCGAUGUCCGAAUGGGGAAACCCAGUGUGAUUCGUCACACUAUCGUUAACUGAAUACAUAGGUUAACGAGGCGAACCGGGGGAACUGAAACAUCUAAGUACCCCGAGGAAAAGAAAUCAACCGAGAUUCCCCCAGUAGCGGCGAGCGAACGGGGAGCAGCCCAGAGUCUGAAUCAGCUUGUGUGUUAGUGGAACGGUCUGGAAAGUCCGACGGUACAGGGUGAUAGUCCCGUACACGAAAACACACAGGUUGUGAACUCGAAGAGUAGGGCGGGACACGUGGUAUCCUGUCUGAAUAUGGGGGACCAUCCUCCAAGGCUAAAUACUCCUGACUGACCGAUAGUGAACCAGUACCGUGAGGGAAAGGCGAAAAGAACCCCGGCGAGGGGAGUGAAAAAGAACCUGAAACCGUGUACGUACAAGCAGUGGGAGCACCUUCGGGUGUGACUGCGUACCUUUUGUAUAAUGGGUCAGCGACUUAUAUUCUGUAGCAAGGUUAACCGUAUAGGGGAGCCGAAGGGAAACCGAGUCUUAACUGGGCGUUAAGUUGCAGGGUAUAGACCCGAAACCCGGUGAUCUAGCCAUGGGCAGGUUGAAGGUUGGGUAACACUAACUGGAGGACCGAACCGACUAAUGUUGAAAAAUUAGCGGAUGACUUGUGGCUGGGGGUGAAAGGCCAAUCAAACCGGGAGAUAGCUGGUUCUCCCCGAAAGCUAUUUAGGUAGCGCCUCGUGAACUCAUCUUCGGGGGUAGAGCACUGUUUCGGCUAGGGGGCCAUCCCGGCUUACCAACCCGAUGCAAACUACGAAUACCGAAGAAUGUUAUCACGGGAGACACACGGCGGGUGCUAACGUCCGUCGUGAAGAGGGAAACAACCCAGACCGCCAGCUAAGGUCCCAAAGUCAUGGUUAAGUGGGAAACGAUGUGGGAAGGCACAGACAGCCAGGAUGUUGGCUUAGAAGCAGCCAUCAUUUAAAGAAAGCGUAAUAGCUCACUGGUCGAGUCGGCCUGCGCGGAAGAUGUAACGGGGCUAAACCAUGCACCGAAGCUGCGGCAGCGACACUAUGUGUUGUUGGGUAGGGGAGCGUUCUGUAAGCCGUUGAAGGUGGCCUGUGAGGGCUGCUGGAGGUAUCAGAAGUGCGAAUGCUGACAUAAGUAACGAUAAAGCGGGUGAAAAGCCCGCUCGCCGGAAGACCAAGGGUUCCUGUCCAACGUUAAUCGGGGCAGGGUGAGUCGACCCCUAAGGCGAGGCCGAAAGGCGUAGUCGAUGGGAAACAGGUUAAUAUUCCUGUACUUGGUGUUACUGCGAAGGGGGACGGAGAAGGCUAUGUUAGCCGGGCGACGGUUGUCCCGGUUUAAGCAUGUAGGCGGAGGUUCCAGGUAAAUCCGGUACCUUUUAACGCUGAGGUGUGAUGACGAGGCACUACGGUGCUGAAGUAACAAAUGCCCUGCUUCCAGGAAAAGCCUCUAAGCAUCAGGUAACAUCAAAUCGUACCCCAAACCGACACAGGUGGUCAGGUAGAGAAUACCAAGGCGCUUGAGAGAACUCGGGUGAAGGAACUAGGCAAAAUGGUGCCGUAACUUCGGGAGAAGGCACGCUGAUAUGUAGGUGAAGCCCCUGCGGGUGGAGCUGAAAUCAGUCGAAGAUACCAGCUGGCUGCAACUGUUUAUUAAAAACACAGCACUGUGCAAACACGAAAGUGGACGUAUACGGUGUGACGCCUGCCCGGUGCCGGAAGGUUAAUUGAUGGGGUUAGCGGCAACGCGAAGCUCUUGAUCGAAGCCCCGGUAAACGGCGGCCGUAACUAUAACGGUCCUAAGGUAGCGAAAUUCCUUGUCGGGUAAGUUCCGACCUGCACGAAUGGCGUAAUGAUGGCCAGGCUGUCUCCACCCGAGACUCAGUGAAAUUGAACUCGCUGUGAAGAUGCAGUGUACCCGCGGCAAGACGGAAAGACCCCGUGAACCUUUACUAUAGCUUGACACUGAACACUGGUCCUUGAUGUGUAGGAUAGGUGGGAGGCUUUGAAGUGUGGACGCCAGUCUGCAUGGAGCCGUCCUUGAAAUACCACCCUUUAAUGGCUGGUGUUCUAACGUAGACCCGUAAUCCGGGUUGCGGACAGUGUCUGGUGGGUAGUUUGACUGGGGCGGUCUCCUCCCAAAGAGUAACGGAGGAGCACGAAGGUUAGCUAAUCCUGGUCGGACAUCAGGAGGUUAGUGCAAUGGCAUAAGCUAGCUUGACUGCGAGAGUGACGGCUCGAGCAGGUGCGAAAGCAGGUCAUAGUGAUCCGGUGGUUCUGAAUGGAAGGGCCAUCGCUCAACGGAUAAAAGGUACUCCGGGGAUAACAGGCUGAUACCGCCCAAGAGUUCAUAUCGACGGCGGUGUUUGGCACCUCGAUGUCGGCUCAUCACAUCCUGGGGCUGAAGUAGGUCCCAAGGGUAUGGCUGUUCGCCAUUUAAAGUGGUACGCGAGCUGGGUUUAGAACGUCGUGAGACAGUUCGGUCCCUAUCUGCCGUGGGCGCUGGAGAAUUGAGGGGGCUGCUCCUAGUACGAGAGGACCGGAGUGGACGCAUCACUGGUGUUCGGGUUGUCAUGCCAAUGGCACUGCCCGGUAGCUAAAUGCGGAAGAGAUAAGUGCUGAAAGCAUCUAAGCACGAAACUUGCCCCGAGAUGAGUUCUCCCUGAGCCUUUAAGGCUCCUGAAGGAACGUUGAAGACGACGACGUUGAUAGGUCGGGUGUGUAAGCGCAGCGAUGCGUUGAGCUAACCGAUACUAAUGAACCGUGAGGCUUAACCUUACAACGCCGAAG